AUUGAACGCUGGCGGCAGGCCUAACACAUGCAAGUCGAGCGGAUGAAGGGAGCUUGCUCCUGGAUUCAGCGGCGGACGGGUGAGUAAUGCCUAGGUAUCUGCCUGGUAGUGGGGGAUAACGUCCGGAAACGGGCGCUAAUACCGCAUACGUCCUGAGGGUGAAAGUGGGGGAUCUUCGGACCUCACGCUAUCAGAUGAGCCUAGGUCGGAUUAGCUAGUUGGUGGGGUAAAGGCCUACCAAGGCGACGAUCCGUAACUGGUCUGAGAGGAUGAUCAGUCACACUGGAACUGAGACACGGUCCAGACGCCUACGGGAGGCAGCAGUGGGGAAUAUUGGACAAUGGGCGAAAGCCUGAUCCAGCCACGCCGCGUGUGUGAAGAAGGUCUUCGGAUUGGAAAGCACUAUAAGUAGGGAGGAAGGGCAGUAAGGUAAGGCGUUGCUGUAUUGACGUUACCAACAGAAUAAGCACCGGCUAACUUCGUG
rnacentral:rRNA from 1 species